AGAGUUUGAUCCUGACUCAGAACGAACGCUGGCGGCGUGCUUAACACAUGCAAGUCGAACGUGAUCCGGAGCUUGCUCCGGUGAAAGUGGCGCACGGGUGAGUAACGCGUGGAUAACCUGCCCUGGUAUCUGGGAUAACAUCUCGAAAGGGGUGCUAAUACCGGAUAAGCCUACGGGAUCUUCGGAUUCUGCAGGAAAAGGAGGCCUCUAUUUAUAAGCUUCCGUAUCAUGAUGGGUCCGCGUACCAUUAGCUAGUUGGUGGGGUAAUGGCCUACCAAGGCGACGAUGGUUAGCUGGUCUGAGAGGAUGAUCAGCCACACUGGAACUGAGACACGGUCCAGACUCCUACGGGAGGCAGCAGUGGGGAAUUUUGGACAAUGGGGGCAACCCUGAUCCAGCCAUGCCGCGUGAGUGAAGAAGGCCUUCGGGUUGUAAAGCUCUUUCGGCCGGGAAGAAAUCGCAUCAGCUAAUACCUGGUGUGGAUGACGGUACCGGAAUAAGAAGCACCGGCUAACUACGUGCCAGCAGCCGCGGUAAUAC
rnacentral:rRNA from 2 species